rnacentral:lncRNA from 1 species
CUACUAAUCACUCUCUCUACAGUCCUUUUCUUCCUCAGUUUCUUUCUCUAUCUACAUUUUCUAUCUUUCUCAAAUUCUACAUUGAUGAUUUUUGUAAUCCAGCCAUAAAUUUGAUGUUUGUGAAGGUGAAGGUGGUGACCGAUUCAAAUUGAAGAAGGUGAAAUCAGAAUCGACAGAUGUAUUCUGUUUGUGAUUGUUGGAAGAGGGGAGACUGAAGAUCUAAUGGAGGGUGGUGGUGCUGGUGGCUGUGUGGUGGUAUGGUUGGUAUUGUUGGUGGUUGUGGCUUGGUGGAGGUGAAGAUAUUGGAUUUAUUGAGCUUGUAUCAUUUCCCGUGGCUAGUUUCUUCGUCAUUUAGAGACUGUCUUUAAUGGAAUAAUUUUAGCACUAGAUAUUGUGUCCUGUGUCAUAAAAGCCUUUGUGACCUGUCAGCUUUGCUUUGUAACAUGGUGUCCAUAUUUUCUUGACUUUUGAUCAGGUUAGAGAGUGUUUAGGUGUUGCUCACUUCGACAUUGUGGUGGCUUCAUUAAUGAGGAUUUUGUAGUGCCUAUACGACAUUAGAAUCUACCUAUUCGUUUCAUACGCAAAUGCACUACAAUGUGAGAUAUAGAGUAUGGGUAUGUCGUGUAUCAUGUAAACGGGCGGGAUUUUGUGACUUGAUUUUGGCAAUAUAUUAC